rnacentral:rRNA from 1 species
UACGGAAGGCAGCAGUGGGGAAUAUUGCACAAUGGGCGCAAGCCUGAUGCAGCCAUGCCGCGUGUAUGAAGAAGGCCUUCGGGUUGUAAAGUACUUUCAGUCGUGAGGAAGGUGUUAAGGUUAAUAACCUUAGCAAUUGACGUUAGCGACAGAAGAAGCACCGGCUAACUCCGUGCCAGCAGCCGCGGUAAUACGGAGGGUGCGAGCGUUAAUCGGAAUUACUGGGCGUAAAGGGCACGCAGGCGGUUAAUUAAGUUGGAUGUGAAUCCCCGGGCUUAACCUGGGAAUGGCAUUCAAGACUGGUUAGCUAGAGUCUUGUAGAGGGGGUGAAUUCCAUGUGUAGCGGUGAAAUGCGUAGAGAUGUGGAGGAAUACCGGGUGGGCGAAGGCGGGCCCCUGGGACAAAGACUGACGCUCAUGUGCGAAAGCGUGGGGGAGCGAAAACAGGGAUUAGAUACC